CCUACGGGAGGCAGCAGUGGGGAAUCUUGCGCAAUGGGCGAAAGCCUGACGCAGCAACGCCGCGUGAGUGAUGAAGGCCUUCGGGUCGUAAACCUUGAGAACUCGGAUACCUGUACCUUAAGAAGAAGCACCGGCUAACUCUGUGCCAGCAGCCGCGGUAAUACAGAGGGUGCAAGCGUUGUUCGGAAUUAUUGGGCGUAAAGCGCGUGUAGGCGGCCAAGCAUGUCGGGUGUGAAAGCCCUGGGCUUAACCCAGGAAGUGCGCCCGAAACUACUUGGCUUGAGUGUCGGAGAGGAUGGCGGAACUCCCGGUGUAGAGGUGAAAUUCGUAGAUAUCGGGAAGAACACCAGUGGCGAAGGCGGCCAUCUGGACACACUGACGCUGAGACGCGAAAGCGUGGGGAGCAAACAGGAUUAGAUACCCUUGUAGUC
rnacentral:rRNA from 1 species